GGGCCAUGUCACGUUGAAACAACGGUUCUUGUAAGAUCUUCGAAGUUAAGCAACGUCAAGCCUGGUCAAUACCUAGAUGGGUAACCGCUUGGUAAUACUAGGUGCUGCAUG